rnacentral:lncRNA from 1 species
CCUGUAGGCAAAGAAACUAGAUUCAUGAAUAUUACUCAAUUUUUCUUUAAGAAACACCCUGUCUCACCCUGAGAUCACUGACCUCUGUUCUGCUGGCAGUUUCAGGGAAUAGUAAUCACCCAGACGUUGUGUGGGUUUGCUUUCCUUCUUCUGGAGGAACGGAGGAUGUUGUUGACAGCCAGCCUAGAGCCCUUCAGUCUGCCUUCUGUAUCUCUCCCAUCCACUCUCUGCACAUGUUUUGAUUUGUAACUGCUCAAAGAAACCAACAGCGCAUGCAUCUCAAAU